AAGACUUAUGGAGUUACAUAUCUCUGGGUUAUUUUAAGCAGAUAACCAAGGCUGGCGAGAUUGGGUCUUCCACUAUGCCCCACAAAGUCAAUCCGAUUGAUUUUGAAAACAGUGAGGGUAACCUGAUUGUAGCUAAUGGAACUCUAAACAACCUGAGCACGAAGUUACCCAUUUCACGUUGGCAGCGAGACCUCACAGAUUCAACAGUUUUGAGGAAUAUUGGCAUGGUAUUAGGGCAUUCCCUCCUUGCCUAUAAAAGUGCACUUUAGGGAAUUGGGAAGCUUCAGGUAA